rnacentral:rRNA from 1 species
AUUGAACGCUGGCGGCAGGCUUAACACAUGCAAGUCGAGCGGGGGAAGGUAGCUUGCUACCGGACCUAGCGGCGGACGGGUGAGUAAUGCUUAGGAAUCUGCCUAUUAGUGGGGGACAACAUCUCGAAAGGGAUGCUAAUACCGCAUACGUCCUACGGGAGAAAGCAGGGGAUCUUCGGACCUUGCGCUAAUAGAUGAGCCUAAGUCGGAUUAGCUAGUUGGUGGGGUAAAGGCCUACCAAGGCGACGAUCUGUAGCGGGUCUGAGAGGAUGAUCCGCCACACUGGGACUGAGACACGGCCCAGACUCCUACGGGAGGCAGCAGUGGGGAAUAUUGGACAAUGGGGGGAACCCUGAUCCAGCCAUGCCGCGUGUGUGAAGAAGGCCUUAUGGUUGUAAAGCACUUUAAGCGAGGAGGAGGCUACUUUAGUUAAUACCUAGAGAUAGUGGACGUUACUCGCAGAAUAAGCACCGGCUAACUCUGUGCCAGCAGCCGCGGUAAUACAGAGGGUGCGAGCGUUAAUCGGAUUUACUGGGCGUAAAGCGUGCGUAGGCGGCUUAUUAAGUCGGAUGUGAAAUCCCCGAGCUUAACUUGGGAAUUGCAUUCGAUACUGGUGAGCUAGAGUAUGGGAGAGGAUGGUAGAAUUCCAGGUGUAGCGGUGAAAUGCGUAGAGAUCUG